UACGUAGGGUGCAAGCGUUGUCCGGAAUUAUUGGGCGUAAAGAGCUCGUAGGCGGUUUGUUGCGUCUGUCGUGAAAGCCCACAGCUUAACUGUGGGUCUGCGGUGGAUACGGGCAGACUAGAGGCAGGUAGGGGAGAAUGGAAUUCCCGGUGUAGCGGUGAAAUGCGCAGAUAUCGGGAGGAACACCGGUGGCGAAGGCGGGUCUCUGGGCCGAUACUGACGCUGAGGAGCGAAAGCGUGGGGAGCGAACAGG
rnacentral:rRNA from 1 species